CAGAGAUAGAAAGACAUCCAGUAUUCACUGAAUGAAGGAGCCUAUUUACAAUUUCAUUCAUCAAUUAAAUAAAUGAUACUAUAGUACAUUCAAUGACGUUAUUAUUGUGGAGUAUAGGCUACUCCUGUAUCUACCUUCAUCAUUGAAUGAAGCAGAAUACCCAUCCACAUUUAUAGUGGUAGGUGUGGUGGUGGUAGGGAUGGUAGGUGUGGGGAUGGUAGGGAUGGUAGGUGUAAUGGUAAGUGGAGUGGUUGUAGGUGUGGUGAAGGUAGGUAUGGUAGGUGUGGUUAUGGUAGAUGCGAUGAUGGUAGGUGUGGUGAUGGCAGGUCUGAUGGUAGGUGUGGUGAAGUAAUUAUGGUAUGGUGAUGGUAGAUGUGAUAGGUGUGGUAUUGGUAUGUAUGAUGGUAUGUGUAGUGAUUGUAGGUGUAUGGAUGGUAGGUAUGGUGGGUGUGGUGAUGAUAGGUGUAAUGGUAGGUAUGGUGAUGGUAGGUGUGAUAGUUGUGGUAGGUCGAUGUGGUAGUUGUGGUAGGUAGGUUUGGUAGUUGUGUUUGGUAGGUGGGGUAGUUGUGGUACAUAUGUGUGGUGGUUGUGCUAGGUAGGUUUGGUGAUGGUAGGUUUUGUAGUUGUGGUGAUGAUAGGUGUGGUAGGUGUGUUAGUUUUGGUAGGUUGGUGUGGUGGUUGUGGUACAUAGGGGCGGUAGUUGUGGUAGGUAGAUGUGGUAGUUGGGAUAAGUAGGUGUGGUAGUUGUGGUAGUUGUGGUGAUUAGGGUUGGGCGGUAUCCAGAUGUUCAUAUUGUCAUACCAUCCUUCUCUCAUACCGGGAUUUACAGUAUUACCGGCAUAGCACAUGAGUGGGUG
ensembl:lncRNA